AUGCUUGCUUCAUCCUCCCCUCCCCCCACGAGCCCCCAGCUCUCUCUCCUGCAGCCCCAGGCAGGUUCUUGGUGGACUUGCCCCCGCCCCCGACCACCUCAGCUGCCCUUAAGCUCUUCAGACCUCAGGGGUCUUGGGAAUGGGGAGGAGGGUGGCAGCCAGAAGCUGGGCCACGGAGUCCAAACAUCUGAAGGCGUCCCUGAAAACUCCGUAGCCUUUCUGUCUCCUCUGUGUCUCCUGGCAUCCCACCUGCAUGGGGUGCCGUCCAGCACUGCAUGGGCCAGAGGCCCCUCCUGUCCCCUUCCCACGGCUGCUCGUCCUGUUCCGUGUGCGGCUCCCCACCCCCCGCCGCCCAUCACCCCUCAUGCCAGAGCGGGUCUCGGCUCUGCCACAACAGUUCCAUCUCCGGGACCCCCCAAGACUGGUCCCCAGCCCCCUCCACAUGCAUGUCACUGCAGGAUUCUGCUGCGAGCUUCUCCUCCUCCCCGUGUGACCUCCCGCGCCUCCUGGUACCCUCUCUACCCGCUUGCAGAGAUCAGUCUGCUUCUUCAUCAUGGUCCAGAUCUUUUCCCAAAAGAUUCCUCCAUGCUUUUCUUUUCAAAAGGGAAAAAAAAAGGAAAAAAAAAACAAUGCCAACAACCCAGCGUCUGUGAGCAACCCAACAGUAACAAAGCGUGUGUUCGGGAAGGAGGAAGAACUACAGCGAGAGGGAAGCAUCGAGACUCUGAGUAACAGCUCAGGUUCCACCAGCGGCAGCAUCCCAAGAAACUUCGACGGCUACCGAUCUCCGCUGCCCACCAAUGAGAGUCAGCCCCUCAGCCUCUUCCCUACCGGCUUCCAGUAGGUACCAGCGACCUGCUUCUGACUGGCCGGCGCACUCACCUGCUGGAGGGAAGCGGGAGAAGCCCUCCACUGGUCUUCCCCUUCAGACUCUGCUCCUCUCUUACCAACCACCCUCCCAAGCUUAGUGACAACAGCCGCUCACCCUCCCUGGAUGAGAAGAGACCCUUCUCCGCAGCGCCUCGGCGCACUCUGACCUGUGCCCCCAUCAGCGGGGCUGUGGCCUGGAGAGACUCUGCAGCAACUCCGUCCCCUCCUCCGUUGCACACGAUGUCCCGCCCGCACUGGAUCUGCUUUUGUAUUUUCUAACCAAACCCUCGGGGUGGGGGGGUGCGUGGGGGGCAGGUCUGGGUGGGGAGAGGGUGGAUGGCCCCGCGGGCACUUUGACCCCAAGUGGGCAGCCCCGGCCCGCUCCUGGCUUUGGCACUCGCUGCCCAGCUUCCCUUGGCCAAGCUCCCCUGGCGAGGGGGUGAGCUGAGGCCCAGAGUAUUUGGGAAGGAGGAAGGAAGGAGAAGCCCCCUUCCCCCUUGGCUGCUGGAAAGGAUUUGUCUUUCUUGUCUGUAAGCCCUUGCACCCUGGUCCUGUGCUGUUCAGUGGAGGAAACCGUGGUUACCCAGGUCCUGUCAAAAAGUGCACGUCUCGUCCAAUAAAUCACGCUGCAAUUGGUGUCCA
rnacentral:lncRNA from 1 species